rnacentral:snoRNA from 1 species
GUCCCAUGAUGAUCUCUUGUUAGUGCCACCGUGUCUGGGCCACUGAUGCUCCAUGAUGNNN